rnacentral:rRNA from 1 species
GGCCGCGUCGACGGCGGGGUAACGGCCCACCUAGUCAACGGAUGGAUAGGGGUUCUGAGAGGAAGGUCCCCCACAUUGGAACUGAGACACGGUCCAAACUCCUACGGGAGGCAGCAGUGAGGAAUAUUGGUCAAUGGGCGAGAGCCUGAACCAGCCAAGUAGCGUGAAGGAUGAAGGUUCUAUGGAUUGUAAACUUCUUUUAUACGGGAAUAAAAAAAGUCUACGUGUAGAUUCUUGUAUGUACCGUAUGAAUAAGCAUCGGCUAACUCCGUGCCAGCAGCCGCGGUAAUACGGAGGAUGCGAGCGUUAUCCGGAUUUAUUGGGUUUAAAGGGAGCGCAGACGGGAGAUUAAGUCAGCUGUGAAAGUUUGGGGCUCAACCUUAAAAUUGCAGUUGAAACUGGUUUUCUUGAGUGCGGUUUGAGGUAUGCGGAAUUCGUGGUGUAGCGGUGAAAUGCUUAGAUAUCACGAAGAACUCGAUUGCGAAGGCAGCAUACCAAGCCGUAACUGACGUUCAUGCUCGAAAGUGUGGGUGUCGACGCGGCCGAGUCGUGGGG